CCCUCUAUUGAUCCAAAAAUUAAUUUUGAUGAAUAUAAAAUAUUUGAAUAAUUAUUUUAAUACUAAUGAGUUGUUGAAGUUCUUAUGAAGAAAAUUAAAAAAAUUAAAAUCAUCAUUGAGAAGCAUGUAUUAAAUGACAAGUCUUGGAGCCCUAGAAAGCUGAAUGGAUAAAGCUAGAUCGUAAAACAUUAAGAGGAAGAGACUAAGAGUCGACUCCUAGAUUCAAUGAGUCGACUCUGGCACACAAAUGGAAGUGGCACGGACUAGGAGUUAACCUCUACUUAGCCUCGAGUUGACUCUGUCAAUCAAAAAGAAAGUAGAAUUUUUAGUGCCAGACCUCUAGUUGACUACUACUUGACCUCGAGUCGACUCUCUAAGGAAAAAUAGAGAAGUGCAUUCUGUGGAUCAAUCUUCAAGCUGACUCCUAUUUCUAUCGAGCUGAUUUAUAGUUUGCUCGAGUCGAUCCCUACUUGAUCUCGAGUCGACUUGACUGUGGCUGACAGCUCUAUGACUUGUUUUACAAAAAAUUUAAAAUUAUUUAGAUAUAUUUCAACAGGUAGUUUUUGAUCUCUAAUGGCUAGAAAUGGUUAUUUUCACUCUUUAGAGAAUUUAAAGGCCACCA
rnacentral:lncRNA from 1 species